rnacentral:rRNA from 1 species
GAUAAACGCUGGCGGCGUGCCUAACACAUGCAAGUCGAACGCCCUACGCAAGUAGGGAGUGGCGGACGGGUGAGAGACACGUGGGUUAUCUGCCUUGAGGUGAGGAAUACCGGCGAGAAAUCGCCGACAAUACCGCAUACGCUCGCAAGAACAAAGUCGCAAGACGCCCCAAGAUGAGCCUGCGUCCGAUUAGCUAGUUGGUGGGGUAAAAGACCUACCAAGGCAACGAUCGGUAGCUGGUCUGAGAGGACGAUCAGCCACACUGGGAUUGAGAACGGCCCAGACUCCGUACGGGGGGCAGCAGUGGAGGAAUUUUCGUUCAAUGGCCGAAAGGCUGAACGAGCAACGCCGCGUGCAGGAAGAAGGU